rnacentral:rRNA from 1 species
UACAGGGGGGGCAAGCGUUGUUCGGAAUUACUGGGCGUAAAGGGCUUGUAGGUGGCCGACUAAGUCCGACGUGAAAACUCGAGGCUCAACCUCGAGACGUCGGCGGAAACCAUCUGGCUAGAGUCCGGAAGAGGAGAGUGGAAUUCCUGGUGUAGCGGUGAAAUGCGCAGAUAUCAGGAAGAACACCCGUGGCGAAGGCGGCUCUCUGGGACGGUACUGACGCUGAGACGCGAAAGCGUGGGGAGCGAACAGG